AGUGGCUAUAAAAAGAGCCAUCCUUUACAGUUUUAUCAAUUGUGAGACGCAAAUAUAAGCUGACACUACGAUCAAUUGAAGAAUCAUUACACAAUUAAUUUUUCUAUUUGAGAUUUGGUACAUUAUAAUCAUGGCUCAAAUAGCAGCGGCCGCAGCGGUAGCCGUCGGUUCGAUAGCGGUAGAAAAGGUUGUAGAACAGGGGGUCAAAAUGCUGAAAGCAGAAACAUACCUAAGAAUUGUGAAUAAUUCAAAGAGCACCAUAGUUUCCACUCAAAUCACCGAAACUGACUCUUUCGAUUGGUCUGGUUCCGGCCCUUCUGGCAAUUUUCAAAAAAAGAAAAUUGCCGUGGGUGAUUACUGGGAAGAAAGAGAAGAUGUCAAUAUCUUUGCUUCAAAUUGUCCAUUUACAAUGUUACUACGAUUUGCCGACGGUAGCAAAGACAAGUUUAGAAUUAACCAGAAGUAUGCCAUUGGAAAAGCGAAGCCUGGGUUUAGCCACCGUGAAGGAAAAAGGAAAAUAACUUAUGCAAAGAAAGAAGGAAAUAAGCUUGUUAUCACGGUACAAUAAACCUAACGUACAUUUUUGAAUUGCUUAUGCUUACAUGUAGUAAGAAUAUAAUUAAAUAAAGGACUUUUUAUUUCAUUUAUUAA